rnacentral:rRNA from 1 species
GGUUAAGCGACUAAGCGUACACGGUGGAUGCCCUGGCAGUCAGAGGCGAUGAAGGACGUGCUAAUCUGCGAUAAGCGUCGGUAAGGUGAUAUGAACCGUUAUAACCGGCGAUUUCCGAAUGGGGAAACCCAGUGUGUUUCGACACACUAUCAUUAACUGAAUCCAUAGGUUAAUGAGGCGAACCGGGGGAACUGAAACAUCUAAGUACCCCGAGGAAAAGAAAUCAACCGAGAUUCCCCCAGUAGCGGCGAGCGAACGGGGAGCAGCCCAGAGCCUGAAUCAGUGUGUGUGUUAGUGGAAGCGUCUGGAAAGGCGCGCGAUACAGGGUGACAGCCCCGUACACAAAAAUGCACAUGCUGUGAGCUCGAUGAGUAGGGCGGGACACGUGGUAUCCUGUCUGAAUAUGGGGGGACCAUCCUCCAAGGCUAAAUACUCCUGACUGACCGAUAGUGAACCAGUACCGUGAGGGAAAGGCGAAAAGAACCCCGGCGAGGGGAGUGAAAAAGAACCUGAAACCGUGUACGUACAAGCAGUGGGAGCACGCUUAGGCGUGUGACUGCGUACCUUUUGUAUAAUGGGUCAGCGACUUAUAUUCUGUAGCAAGGUUAACCGAAUAGGGGAGCCGAAGGGAAACCGAGUCUUAACUGGGCGUUAAGUUGCAGGGUAUAGACCCGAAACCCGGUGAUCUAGCCAUGGGCAGGUUGAAGGUUGGGUAACACUAACUGGAGGACCGAACCGACUAAUGUUGAAAAAUUAGCGGAUGACUUGUGGCUGGGGGUGAAAGGCCAAUCAAACCGGGAGAUAGCUGGUUCUCCCCGAAAGCUAUUUAGGUAGCGCCUCGUGAAUUCAUCUCCGGGGGUAGAGCACUGUUUCGGCAAGGGGGUCAUCCCGACUUACCAACCCGAUGCAAACUGCGAAUACCGGAGAAUGUUAUCACGGGAGACACACGGCGGGUGCUAACGUCCGUCGUGAAGAGGGAAACAACCCAGACCGCCAGCUAAGGUCCCAAAGUCAUGGUUAAGUGGGAAACGAUGUGGGAAGGCCCAGACAGCCAGGAUGUUGGCUUAGAAGCAGCCAUCAUUUAAAGAAAGCGUAAUAGCUCACUGGUCGAGUCGGCCUGCGCGGAAGAUGUAACGGGGCUAAACCAUGCACCGAAGCUGCGGCAGCGACGCUUAUGCGUUGUUGGGUAGGGGAGCGUUCUGUAAGCCUGCGAAGGUGUGCUGUGAGGCAUGCUGGAGGUAUCAGAAGUGCGAAUGCUGACAUAAGUAACGAUAAAGCGGGUGAAAAGCCCGCUCGCCGGAAGACCAAGGGUUCCUGUCCAACGUUAAUCGGGGCAGGGUGAGUCGACCCCUAAGGCGAGGCCGAAAGGCGUAGUCGAUGGGAAACAGGUUAAUAUUCCUGUACUUGGUGUUACUGCGAAGGGGGGACGGAGAAGGCUAUGUUGGCCGGGCGACGGUUGUCCCGGUUUAAGCGUGUAGGCUGGUUUUCCAGGCAAAUCCGGAAAAUCAAGGCUGAGGCGUGAUGACGAGGCACUACGGUGCUGAAGCAACAAAUGCCCUGCUUCCAGGAAAAGCCUCUAAGCAUCAGGUAACAUCAAAUCGUACCCCAAACCGACACAGGUGGUCAGGUAGAGAAUACCAAGGCGCUUGAGAGAACUCGGGUGAAGGAACUAGGCAAAAUGGUGCCGUAACUUCGGGAGAAGGCACGCUGAUAUGUAGGUGAGGUCCCUCGCGGAUGGAGCUGAAAUCAGUCGAAGAUACCAGCUGGCUGCAACUGUUUAUUAAAAACACAGCACUGUGCAAACACGAAAGUGGACGUAUACGGUGUGACGCCUGCCCGGUGCCGGAAGGUUAAUUGAUGGGGUUAGCCGCAAGGCGAAGCUCUUGAUCGAAGCCCCGGUAAACGGCGGCCGUAACUAUAACGGUCCUAAGGUAGCGAAAUUCCUUGUCGGGUAAGUUCCGACCUGCACGAAUGGCGUAAUGAUGGCCAGGCUGUCUCCACCCGAGACUCAGUGAAAUUGAACUCGCUGUGAAGAUGCAGUGUACCCGCGGCAAGACGGAAAGACCCCGUGAACCUUUACUAUAGCUUGACACUGAACAUUGAGCCUUGAUGUGUAGGAUAGGUGGGAGGCUUAGAAGUGUGGACGCCAGUCUGCAUGGAGCCGACCUUGAAAUACCACCCUUUAAUGUUUGAUGUUCUAACGUUGACCCGUAAUCCGGGUUGCGGACAGUGUCUGGUGGGUAGUUUGACUGGGGCGGUCUCCUCCUAAAGAGUAACGGAGGAGCACGAAGGUUGGCUAAUCCUGGUCGGACAUCAGGAGGUUAGUGCAAUGGCAUAAGCCAGCUUGACUGCGAGCGUGACGGCGCGAGCAGGUGCGAAAGCAGGUCAUAGUGAUCCGGUGGUUCUGAAUGGAAGGGCCAUCGCUCAACGGAUAAAAGGUACUCCGGGGAUAACAGGCUGAUACCGCCCAAGAGUUCAUAUCGACGGCGGUGUUUGGCACCUCGAUGUCGGCUCAUCACAUCCUGGGGCUGAAGUAGGUCCCAAGGGUAUGGCUGUUCGCCAUUUAAAGUGGUACGCGAGCUGGGUUUAGAACGUCGUGAGACAGUUCGGUCCCUAUCUGCCGUGGGCGCUGGAGAACUGAGGGGGGCUGCUCCUAGUACGAGAGGACCGGAGUGGACGCAUCACUGGUGUUCGGGUUGUCAUGCCAAUGGCACUGCCCGGUAGCUAAAUGCGGAAGAGAUAAGUGCUGAAAGCAUCUAAGCACGAAACUUGCCCCGAGAUGAGUUCUCCCUGACCCUUUAAGGGUCCUGAAGGAACGUUGAAGACGACGACGUUGAUAGGCCGGGUGUGUAAGCGCAGCGAUGCGUUGAGCUAACCGGUACUAAUGAACCGUGAGGCUUAACCUU